UAUCUUACUUCAAGCCCUGCUUGGUGUUGAGUUGAAUCAAAAGAAGCAACUCCAAAACAAUUGACACUUGUCUUUUGGGUCUCCAACUUUGACAGUUGAUAUCCAAGGGGAAAAUUGUCUGUCUCUCAAA
rnacentral:misc_RNA from 1 species